rnacentral:rRNA from 1 species
UACGUAGGCAGCGAGCGUUGUUCGGAGUUACUGGGCGUAAAGGGUGUGUAGGCGGUCGUUUUAAGUUUGGUGUGAAAUCUCCCGGCUCAACCGGGAGGGUGCGCCGAAUACUGAAUGACUUGGAGUGCGGGAGAGGUGAGUGGAAUUCCUGGUGUAGCGGUGAAAUGCGUAGAUAUCAGGAGGAACACCGGUGGUGUAGACGGCUCACUGGACCGUAACUGACGCUGAGGCGCGAGAGCGUGGGGAGCAAACAGG